CCUGCCUCUAGAAACUUGCAAGUGUGACUACUAUGUCACUUUCUCAACCAUAGGUGGCAAAAGAGGAGAAGGCAAUGUGAAUGCUCAGUAUUCUUAUCUAAGAACAUUUGAACAAUUCCUAACAUU